rnacentral:lncRNA from 1 species
CACAGGCACAGAUGUAUGUAUGUUACAGUAGAUGGGGGUUAGUACUGGUUAACACCCUGGUUAAUGGGUCUCUGCCUAGCUAAAAAUACAAAGCUGGCUAUCUAAAAUCUUCCUUGAAGCUGCACUUGAUACCUCUGCAUGGUGACAGUGUCAUGAGCUGGAGGAUGGACUCCAUGGUCAGAGAGCAGACAGGACAGAACUGAGCAAACAAAGUUUAUUUAUAAGUGACAGAACACAGUAAAGCAAUGAAACAGUCGCCAGGUGGGAGGAGAUGAGGUAGGGUGCAUAUGGUAGUCUGGUAGGAAACCGGAAGUAAUGUCAAAUCCAAGAUGGCCGACCAACAGAGAGCACAUGGGCAAAAUGGAGGACAAUGUCAAAACCAAAAUGGCCGACUGACAGAGACACAAGAGUCACACAAGCACAACAAGAAUGUAGUCCAAACACUAUCCACAGAGCUAGCUCAGAGGUCGAGGGUAAUCCAGGUCAUACACGGUUAGGCAGUUCAGAGGUAAGUCCGGCAGGCAAGAUCCACAACGAAAAGACAAUCCAGGUCGAUACACAAAGGCAGUCCAAACAGACAGAGCAGGAAAGGGGACAACCAGGGAGCGAAACAGAACAGAGGGAGAACUCACUGAACCAGAGGGGAAGCAGGGUCAGGUCAGGCUGGUCCAAUAAGGGGGAAUCCAGGGCAGACAGAGCAGAAAGGGGACAGGUCCGGGAAAGGGAAUCAGGCAGGGUCAGGUCAGGCUGGUCCAAUAAGGGGGAAUCCAGGGCAGACAGAGCAGAAAGGGGACAGGUCCGGGAAAGGGAAUCAGGCAGGUCCAGGUACAGGUUAGGUACCGUGAGCAGGGGGGAAAAGACAGAACUCACAGCACCAGGGGGUCAGGCAAGAGACGGGGUCCAGAUCAGGCAGAGUCCAAGAAAUCCAAAAGAAUCAGUCCAAGAUAAAUGCUGGAUAGUGUUCAGGAGUGGAAAACAGACUAUCUGGCAGGGGAAACAGGUGAGCAGGCCGGUAUUUAUACUCCAGGGGAAAGCAGGUGUAACCAAUCAGGUGAGUGCAUGUGACCAUACCGGGAAAGGGAAACAGGAAACCGCCAAAAUAAAAGCACGGCAGGAAGCACUGGCAGCAACGAGGCUGGAACCAUGACAGACAGGUCUAAAUUACAUCAAAAUCAACACCAUUAUCAUCAUGUUAAGUGUCCAAGUUUCAAUGCAAUUGCACUGUGGAUCAAUCCUACAGCACCCUAUUAUAAUACCAGAAGGACUUUAUCU